rnacentral:miRNA from 10 species
AGUUUUAUCAGGUUAGUGCAAAUGUAAUUACGGUUUUUGCCUUUAAAAGUAAUAGCAGAAACCACAAUUUCUUUUGCACCAACCUAAUCAA